AUAUAUAUAUAUAUAUUUAAUUUAUGUUAAGAUAUGUCUUACACUGAUAACCAGGUUCGCUCUCCAAACAGGUCUAAUUCACUUUAUUCACACUAUUUAGUCUAAACAAAAUGCUUCUUUUGUUUCUCAAAAAAUCUUUUUUUUUCCUGGCCUAUUUUAAAAUCUAUAUUACUAAACAAAACAACAAAUUAUGGUUAUUCUUUUUUCUUUACUACAUAUUUCUUGAAUACAGAAUUAAAACAAUUUCGGAUAAGUGCGUGAUUGUCAUUGCAAUCUUAAUAGUGGAAGGAUUGUUUUUGAUAGUUGUAGUUUAAAUCCUUGUAGUCAAGCCUGGGCAUGCAUGGAUGUCAAUGAGCGCUGAAUAGGAAAAUGAAAGUCAAGUCUACGUAGUUUAAAUUGGCAGUAGUCUUGGUACCAUGUUGAUUGCACUAAGUAAAACAUGAAUUCAAGUCAUAAAUUAUUAUUUUUUUAAAAUAUUGCUCACUUUUUUUUCUCCAUGGAGCUAGUGCUGAAACAGCUGAAUGGAUUCAUUGUUUAGGCUUUUUCUGAGCCUUCAGAGUUGUUCCCAGAAGAAGGUAUUUGGUGAAGUGCUUGGGCAUUCACAUCGUACCAAAACAUUGGCCUCUAACCCGGACUCUUGGGAUUUAGAAAAUAAACACUUUGAAAAGUUCUUAUACAAAAGGAGUGCCCCCCCCCCCCCCCC